AGGGCACCACCAGGAGUGGAGCCUGCGGCUUAAUUUGACUCAACACGGGAAAUCUCACCAGGCCCGGACACUGGAAGGAUUGACAGAUUGAGAGCUCUUUCUCGAUUCGGUGGGUGGUGGUGCAUGGCCGUUCUUAGUUGGUGGAGUGAUUUGUCUGGUUAAUUCCGAUAACGAACGAGACUCUGUCCUGCUAAAUAGUUCCAGCGUCCUUAGUGCGCUGGAAAUUCUUCUUAGAGGGACUGGCGGCGUCUAGCCGCACGAGAUUGAGCAAUAACAGGUCUGUGAUGCCCUUAGAUGCUCUGGGCCGCACGCGCGCUACGCUGAAGGGAUCAGCGUGUCUUCCCUCUCCGAGAGGAGCGGGUAACCCGCUGAACCCCCUUCGUGGUAGGGAUUGGGGCUUGCAAUUAUUCCCCAUGAACCAGGAAUUCCCAGUAAGCGCAAGUCAUAAGCUUGCGUUGAUUACGUCCCUGCCCUUUGUACACACCGCCCGUCGCUACUACCGAUUGAACGUUUUAGUGA
rnacentral:rRNA from 1 species